rnacentral:lncRNA from 1 species
GGUGCCCUUCCCCUGAAGAUAGUCCAAAUUCUGAUGGAAGGUGGUGAUCGUUCCAACUUACCAACUACGGAGGUCUGAUGUGCCUUUAUUUCUGUUGUUCACUCUGUUCUAUCUUAUGGAGCUCAGUAAAUUGCUUUUAUGACCACCUGUGUCUCUGCAGUGUGGAUCCAGGUACUGGCACAACCAGGAGGCCUGAGAGGGGUAUGGGGGAAGAAUGCUGUAGAGGCACCACACAGCUGGGCAUUUCUCACCAGUCUAAUAAAUUUUACAGGGAGACCUCUGUGAAAAUGGUUAUUUGCAAAAGUAAAAUCUGAAUGAAGAUGGCAUGUUCUUUUUAUGUUGAGAAAUCGAAAGGAGAAACAUACUGACUUCAAAUACCCUGAUUAAAGUAGUAUUCAAAUCCUAAACAUUACCCCAGGCAC